GACAGAGGGUGCAAACGUUGUUUCGGAAUUAUUGGGCGUAAAGAGCUCGUAGGCGGUUUGUCGCGUCUGCUGUGAAAACUGGAGGCUCAACCUCCAGCCUGCAGUGGGUACGGGCAGACUAGAGUGCGGUAGGGGAGAUUGGAAUUCCUGGUGUAGCGGUGGAAUGCGCAGAUAUCAGGAGGAACACCAAUAGCGAAGGCAGCUCGCUGGGACGUACUGACACUGAGGCGCGAAAGCGUGGGGAGCGAACAGG
rnacentral:rRNA from 1 species